rnacentral:rRNA from 1 species
GACCUCUAAUCGGAAAAGACUACCCGCUGAGUUUAAGCAUAUCACUAAGCGGAGGAGAAGAAACUAACCAGGAUUUCCCUAGUAACGGCGAGCGAACCGGAAAGAGCCCAGCUUGAAAAUCGUGGUGCCUCGCACCUCGAGUUGUGGUCUGGAGAAGGUCCCUCUGCGGCGCGCCGGACCCAAGUUCCCUGGAAAGGGACGUCAUCGAGGGUGACAACCCCGUCCGCGUCCGGAACGCGUCGCUCCACGAGGACCUGUCUGCGAGUCGGGCUGUUUGGGAAUGCAGCCCUAAUCGGGUGGUAAAUUCCAUCCAAGGCUAAAUAUGGGCAAGAGACCGAUAGCGAACAAGUACCGCGA